AUUGAACGCUGGCGGCAGGCCUAACACAUGCAAGUCGCACGAGUGGCGGACGGGUGAGUAAUGUCUGGGAAACUACCUGAUGGAGGGGGAUAACUACUGGACACUGUAGCUAAUACCGCAUACCAUCGGAUGUGCCCAGCUGGGAUUAGCUAGUAGGUGGGGUAAAGGCUCACCUAGGCGACGAUCCCUAGCUGGUCUGAGAGGAUGACCAGCCAAACUGGAACGGAGACACGGUCCAGACUCAUACGGGAGGCAGCAGUGGGGAAUAUGGCACAAUGGGGGCAAGCCUGAUGCAGCCAUGCCGCGUGAAUGAAGAAGGCCUUCGGGUUGUAAAGUACUUUCAGCGGGGAGGCGUUACCCGCAGAAGAAGCACCGGCUAACUCCGUGCCAGCAGCCGCGGUAAUAC
rnacentral:rRNA from 1 species